UUGCGUUUCGGUUGUCAAGUUUCCUUGGUGUGUCAUCGGCUAGUGUAGUUGUGACGGGAGUGACUGGGAGUGACUAUUCGAAAUUGUUCGAGGUUCGAGGUGACCAGAUAGAUCGGUUAGAUCGGUUAGAUAGGCAUGUAGCUGAAUUGGUGAAAGAGGUUUGAGUCACUUUCUAGUGGACGAGGCCAGGAAAGACGUUUUGCUAUAAAAAGAAAAUGGGAUCCAUCUCAAAAGAAGCAUAAAAGGCAUGGACCACCACCAUUACUUGGAACGACGAGUAGCACCCCAGUCACUCCUACCAAGAUGAAUGUAUAAAAGAAAUGUAUCAAAGGCUGGUGGCAGCAGGGAUUCUUCCAGGUGGAAGAGCCGAUUCACAUUGUGAAGAACAAGAAGAGGCUAAUUCUAUCAAACCUGUUGACUUCAGUCAGCCUGAAACAUUAAAAAUGCAUCAGCCUGGUUUAGUGGCUCUGCAGCACGCUGGCAUUCCGUGUAGUUCCUGUGGCGCGUUCAUUUCCCUCCAGAGGAACGUAUGAAAUACAGGCAACAUUUGGAGUGGAAUUUCCAGCAGAACAGGUGUCUGAAGGACAGUGGUGACAAUCAGAGUAGAGGCUGGUAUAUUAAUAUCUCAGAUUGGAUGCAGCAUGAGGAAAUUGAAGAUCCAGAGGAAACAGGUGGUUCCACUAUGGAUGCCAGAUUUGGUGACAUUGAGCGAUUCCCAAUAGUUUAUAAGCAAAGAAAUCCUACUGCAACCUCAGUCCUCCAGGCCAGGAAAAUUUCAGUGUGGACCUUUGCAGUGGAUUGAUGUUGGACAUCCUAACAUGCGAUGUGGUCGUUGGGAACUUGAACCAAAUAAUCCCUGGAGACAUGAGAGAACCUCAGCCAGCUUAACUCAAGUUCACUUGGGCAGUCAUCCAGACCCAAACCAAAGAUAUGGUUACACCUUUCAUGAAAUAUUGGGACCAGAAUUUCAAGUAGUUAACAAUUCUGGUGGAAUUAACCAGCAGAGACCUCUGCACUUUCAGUGUUAUGCAUGGUUUAAAGGUUGUGCAGAGAGAUGAGUUGAUGGAUGGCACAGGUUUCUGCAAAUUGUUAGCAACCUAAAUAUCAGUAAGACUGUAAAGUUCACUACCCUGAAGACCACAUUCCACACCUUAACAACCAUAGAAACCUCCUGUCUGAUAUCCAUAGUUCACCGACGUGAAUGUCAAUAGCUAGAGCACCAGGUUGUAUAGUCCAUAAGUUAGGGUUGUGUGUGUAGAUAAAUUAUUGUUGAGAGAGUGAACUGUUUUAUGAUCUGCUUGAUCUGAGAACAUUAAGAGUGAUAGCCUAGUGGCAUGCCAGCUACUUGAACUAAGUAAAUAUUGCAAAGCAUAAUAGUUAUUUAACUGGUCAAUAAAUGCCCUACCUUUCAUGGAACCGUAAGAUUAUUACUGUGUUCAUUGAUCCUGUGGCAUUCUAGCAGCUGAUACCAUUUUUAGCUUCUAAUAUAGGGAAACAAAUACUUUAUGUUUAUUUACAACCUUCAGACUUUUAUUUUAUUUCAUUAUAAAUCUCUGUAACAUGCACUAAGAUAAAUAUGUUUUCAAACUCCAAGACAUUCAUGAAAUGUAAUUAAGGUUACAAUGUUAAUCACCCCAAUCCCCAAUACAUAUACUGUAGGCCUCAAUAAAGUAAUAAAUUUGUAACUGGUUAUACAUGAUGUACUUCAUGAUACAAAUAAAUGACAAUGUACAAUCAAGAGUCA